rnacentral:lncRNA from 1 species
GGGGUGGCCCUUUGGGGUCUUGGUUCUUGGCAUGAAGAACCCUCCAAGGAUUUAGAGAUAAGAUCUCAUUCCUCCCCUCACUUUUCUUCUAAAGAUUAAUGCCAAAGAAAAUCACCCCGCUUUGCUACGAAGCCUGGCGUACGCAUGAAGUAGAGGGUCUGUACAUUCAAACCUCGCGAGAUAUCGGAUUCAAGUUCUCUUAGAAUUUUGAUGCCUAUUCUACUGUAAACAAGGUAACCCAUAAUUGUUAUAUAAUUCUUAGAAUAGAAAAAUUUUUCAGAUGCACUCUGGUGAUC